AAGUCGUAACAAGGUUUCCGUAGGUGAACCUGCGGAAGGAUCAUUAGAGAUAAAGUACGACCCCUUCGGGGGGGACUUCUCACACCCUAUGUUUAUACACCAUUGUUGCUUUGGCCGGCCGCGGCCUCCGCUGCGGGCUUCAACGCUCGCACGUGCCGGCCAGAGGACCCAACUCUUGAUUUUAAGUGAUGUCAUGAGUACUAUUAAAUAGUUAAAA
rnacentral:misc_RNA from 1 species